rnacentral:rRNA from 1 species
CAGCAGCCGCGGUAAUACGAAGGGGGCUAGCGUUGUUCGGAAUUACUGGGCGUAAAGCGCGUGUAGGCGGGUCCUUAAGUCAGGGGUGAAAUGCCAAGGCUCAACCUUGGAACUGCCUUUGAUACUGGGGAUCUUGAGUCCGAGAGAGGUGAGUGGAACUGCGAGUGUAGAGGUGAAAUUCGUAGAUAUUCGCAAGAACACCAGUGGCGAAGGCGGCUCACUGGCUCGAAACUGACGCUGAGGCACGAAAGCGUGGGGAGCAAACAGGAUUAGAGACCCCCGUAGUCCCUGUCUCUUAUAC